UACGUAGGGGGCAAGCGUUGUCCGGAAUCAUUGGGCGUAAAGAGCGUGUAGGCGGUUCAGUAAGUCUGCUGUGAAAGUCCAAGGCUCAACCUUGGGAUGCCGGUGGAUACUGCUGAGCUAGAGUACGGAAGAGGCGAGUGGAAUUCCCGGUGUAGCGGUGAAAUGCGCAGAUAUCAGGAGGAACACCGAUGGCGAAGGCAGGUCUCUGGGCAUUAACUGACGCUGAGGAGCGAAAGCAUGGGGAGCGAACAGG
rnacentral:rRNA from 1 species